rnacentral:lncRNA from 1 species
UGCCUUAUAUGUAAAUGCUCGCCUCCAUCUAGCACGAGACAUUUGGGAGCUCAAUGGCUUCGGAGUCAUGGGAACUCCGAAGUUAAGCAAGUUGGGGGCUAGAGCAAUCCCAAGAUGGGUGACCCACUGGGAAGUUGCUCGUGAGUUCGCAGAAACAAAACUGUGAGGGUAAAGAUGGGGGCCCAGAGCGGAAAAUAUCGUGCUACGGCGAAACCGAUCUCGGGAUGUGACACUGCCUAUAUACCCUUACUAAGGGAUCAAGCCACACGUAAUUCUUUCUACAAAAAUCCCGG